rnacentral:lncRNA from 1 species
AAUGGUCACUCUUCUUUUCCCCUAAGGAGGGAAAUGGGAACACCCCGCUGACCAUCUCCUUCUGCCUCAGGCACUUUCAUGGAGACAGUCGAGGGCUUUGGGGCCUGUCCUACCUGGUGGUCUACUCAGUACAGCCAUCGGCCUGGAAAAGGAGACAUCUGUUAAGUCUUUCCUAGGAGAAUAUUUCUCACGUGUUUGACAGAAAACACUACCUGUCCAUCAUUUCCAUGGAUUCCUGGGUCUCACGGGCAGAAGGACAAGGCAGAUAUGAGGAGGAUCUGGUAAAGUAAGUCAUUGUGUACUCUUUGUAUUUGUUUGAAGAUAUUUGGUCUUUUUCAGUCAUAUAUGUGAUGGAGAACCAGUUGUUAGAACAAUGUGUAUAUUGAUGGAGAAACAGGUGGGCCAGAGUGGUCAGUAGUCUGUGUGACAAACAGUGAUGCCACUUUCACUACCUGAAAAUGAAUGAAUAUAUUCAUAGUAGUGGGCAUGCAAAGGUAAUAAAGACCUGACCCCCAACAUCAAUAAUAUAAUAAUGAUGAAUUCAUAUUCUAGAUCUGAUCAUUUAAGGAAGGCCAUCCAUAUCUCCAUCACAAUCACUUAAACAAAUGCAAAAAU